rnacentral:rRNA from 1 species
UACGUAGGGUGCAAGCGUUGUCCGGAAUUAUUGGGCGUAAAGAGCUCGUAGGCGGUCUGUCGCGUCGGCUGUGAAAACCCGGAGCUCAACUCCGGGCCUGCAGUCGAUACGGGCAGACUGGAGUUCGGCAGGGGAGACUGGAAUUCCUGGUGUAGCGGUGAAAUGCGUAGAUAUCAGGAGGAAUACCGGUGGCGAAGGCGGUACUCUGGGCCUGCACUGACGCUGAGGAGCGAAAGCGAGGGGAGCGAACAGG